CGGCGUAAAGGGUGGUUACGGAACUUUUUUCUUUAAAGCAGAAAACCUCUCAAGCUGUUAUACGCACCCAGAAGUUAAAAUUCCUCAUACGAAAGUAACUUUAUCUUUGCCCACCAGAAUCCACGAAAGCCGGGACACAAACUGGGAUUAGAUACCCCACUAUGCCCGGCCAUAAACUUUAAUGCUAAUAUACAACUAGCAUCCGCCAGGGGACUACAAGCACUAGCUUAAAACCCAAAGGACUUGGCGGUGCCUCAGACCCCCCUAGAGGAGCCUGUUCUAGAACCGAUAACCCCCGUUCAACCUCACUAUUUCUUGCUCUUUCCGCCUAUAUACCACCGUCGCCAGCUUACCCUGUGAAGGAAAAGUAAGCGAAAUGGAGACUCUCCAGAACGUCAGGUCGAGGUGUAGCACACGAGAUAGGAAGAAAUGGGCUACAUUGCCUGGUUUAGGCUAUUAACGGAAAGUCGCCUGAAAAGACUAUUUGAAGGUGGAUUUAGCAGUAAGGGCGGAAUAGAGUGCCCCCCUGAAGCCGGCUCUGAGGCGCGCACACACCGCCCGUCACUCUCCCCAACAAAC
rnacentral:rRNA from 1 species